rnacentral:rRNA from 1 species
UAGCGAAAUUCCUUGUCGGGUAAGUUCCGACCUGCACGAAUGGCGUAACGACUUCUGUGCUGUCUUGACCGCGAACUCGGCGAAAUUGCAUUACGAGUAAAGAUGCUCGUUACGCGCAGCAGGACGGAAAGACCCCGGGACCUUUACUAUAGCUUGGUAUUGGUGGCUGGUUGUGUUUGUGUAGGAUAGGUGGGAGACGUUGAAGCAGUCACGCUAGUGGUUGUGGAGUCGGCAAGUGAAAUACCACUCUGAUGUUGCUGGUUAUCUGAACCUGGACCCAUUAUCUGGGUUAGGGACAGUGCCUGGUGGGUAGUUUAACUGGGGCGGUUGCCUCCUAAAUGGUAACGGAGGCGCUCAAAGGUUUCCUCAUCCUGGUUGGUAAUCAGGGUUCGAGUGUAAGUGCACAAGGAAGCUUGACUGUGACACUGACGGGUGGAGCAGGUACGAAAGUAGGAACUAGUGAUCCGGCAAUGGCUUAUGGAAGCGUUGUCGCUCAACGGAUAAAAGGUACCCCGGGGAUAACAGGCUGAUCUUGCCCAAGAGUCCAUAUCGACGGCAUGGUUUGGCACCUCGAUGUCGGCUCGUCGCAUCCUGGGGCUGGAGUUGGUCCCAAGGGUUGGGCUGUUCGCCCAUUAAAGCGGUACGCGAGCUGGGUUCAGAACGUCGUGAGACAGUUCGGUCGCUAUCCGCUGCGCGCGUUAAGACUUGAGAAAGUCCUGUCCCUAGUACGAGAGGACCGGGAUGGACGAACCUCUGGUGUGCCAGUUGUACCGCCAGGUGCAUGGCUGGUUGGCUAUGUUCGGAAAGGAUAACCGCUGAAAGCAUCUAAGCGGGAAGCCUGCUUUAAGAUGAGGUCUUUUAGGUUCCCAGCAGACUACUGGGUAGAUAGGCCAGAAGUGUACACGUUGUAAAACGCAAAGCUGACUGGUACUAAACAACCAUUAAAAAACAAAC